UACGUAGGGGGCAAGCGUUGUCCGGAAUCAUUGGGCGUAAAGAGCGUGUAGGCGGCCCGAUAAGUCCGCUGUGAAAAGUCCAGGGCUCAACCCUGGGAUGCCGGUGGAUACUGUCGGGCUCGAGUCCGGAAGAGGAGUGUGGAAUUCCGUGGUGUAGCGGUGAAAUGCGCAGAUAUCAGGAGGAACACCGGUGGCGAAGGCGGGUCUCUGGGCCGUAACUGACGCUGAGGAGCGAAAGCAUGGGGAGCGAACAGG
rnacentral:rRNA from 1 species